CCCAGACUCCUACGGGAGGCAGCAGUGAGGAAUAUUGGUCAAUGGGCGAGAGCCUGAACCAGCCAAGUCGCGUGAAGGAUGACGGCCCUACGGGUUGUAAACUUCUUUUGUCAGGGAGCAAUUGGGUCCACGCGUGGGCUUAGCGAGAGUACCUGAAGAAAAAGCAUCGGCUAACUCCGUGCCAGCAGCCGCGGUAAUACGGAGGAUGCGAGCGUUAUCCGGAUUUAUUGGGUUUAAAGGGUGCGUAGGCGGAAUAUCAAGUCAGCGGUAAAAAUUCGGGGCUCAACCCCGGCCUGCCGUCGGAACUGGGUGCCUUGAGUGGGCGAGAAGUAUGCGGAAUGCGUGGUGUAGCGGUGAAAUGCAUAGAUAUCACGCAGAACCCCGAUUGCGAAGGCAGCAUACCGGCGCCCUACUGACGCUGAGGCACGAAAGUGCGGGUAUCGAACAGGAUUAGAUACCCCAGUA
rnacentral:rRNA from 1 species